UACAGAGGUCCCAAGCGUUGUUCGGAUUCACUGGGCGUAAAGGGUGCGUAGGCGGUCGGGUAAGUCUGAUGUGAAAUCUCACAGCUUAACUGUGAAACUGCAUUGGAUACUAUUCGGCUUGAGAGUUGGAGGGGGGACUGGAAUUCUUGGUGUAGCAGUGAAAUGCGUAGAUAUCAAGAGGAACACCAGUGGCGAAGGCGGCUCUCUAGUACGGUACUGACGCUGAGACGCGAAAGCGUGGGGAGCGAACAGG
rnacentral:rRNA from 1 species